UAGCUGAAGCCUGCAGACUGAAGGAGGUGUCAGACACGGCGUGUCCUUUUCUUGAAGAGCCAGUUGAUAUUGAAGCACAAAUACGCCGCAGAGUAAUGUGACUCUUGCACUGAAACGUUUACUGUACACUUUUGUGGUGUUCCCAAGUCACAGACCCACAAGACUCAAAGAAUUCCAGGUAUCAAUCUCAGCAAUAAUUUAUUUAGUAUGAAGCUUUGAGACUUGAAGCACUAAUCAGUUAAUUUGAUAUAUUUUAGGGUUUCCAGGUGUGAUUGGCUGCAUAGACGGCACUCAUAUUCCUAUCACAGCUCCUUCAAUAAAUGAAGGAGAUUAUGUGAAUAGGAAGUCUUUCCACAGCAUUAAUGUGCAGAUCAUAUGUGAUGCAGCCUAUAUCAUCAGCAAUGUGGAAACAAAGUGGCCUGGGUCUGUGCAUGACUCGCACAUUUUUCGAGAGUUUGAUGGUUACCUGCUCAGUGACAGAGGGUACCCCUGCCAGCCCUAUUUGCUGACCCCUUACCCUGAUCCUGAGCCCAUCCGCAGCAACAUUAUAACUUGGCUCACUGCAGGACACGAGCCAGGGUAGAGAUGACCAUUGGGAUGCCCAGGGCCCGGUUCCAGUGCCAUCGUAGGCUCAGAGUCACCCCAGAAUGGGCGUGUGACAUUAUUGUGGCAUGUGUGAUUCUCCACAACAUUGCCACAAUUAGAGGAGAACAAUGUCCUACUCAAUCAGUGAACGAUCCUGACCACCCCGCUGACACACAAGGUGGAAGAGCAGUCAGAGACACAAUAUGCUGCCAUCAUUUCUGAUUGACCCAUCA